CACAAGCAUUCCAUUUGGUUUCUACUCGAUAGAACCAAUUUUGACUUUGUGCCUGUGGUAUCGUAAAAAUGUAGGAAAACAAAAAUGUGUUGGCUGCUGAAUCGAGGCAAAGUUUGUAUGUUUGCAUGUGUUUAUUUCAGGAAAUGGCUUCCUGAAAUCCCUCAAGCAGCUGAUUGGUCGACUCCAUGGCUAAUUGGAGAGCUGACCCCGCCCCCUCGUCAAGACGCAGCUGUGUCCAAUUACCCAUUCCUUCAGAAGCUAUAUAAAAGCCAGUGUUCUGUACAGGUUUUUUGCUGGGAGGUUAUUUGAGAGAUUUUGCUAGAGAUUUUCUGUGAGGUCAUUGCAGAGAUUUAGCUUGAGAGAUUUUGCUAGAGAUUUUGCUGGGAGUUCAUUGCUGAGAGUUGAUAUAUUUUGUGAGUUUGUUGCUCAGCUAGAGCUUAUUUGAUGUCCUUUGUUUCUUAGUUUGUGAAAUAGUUUAAUAUUCUGUUUCAUUUGUUCCCAGGGGGAGAAGGGGAAGGCACCUAGGGAGUGCUUAGGCAAGAGGCCCGCGGGCAUACAUAUACCCGUAUCAUAUUCGCUGUCUAGGCACACUAGGUAAGACCUGGGCGGACCACCCCCUGUAUUUUGGUUAGGGCACCAGGUGGUGCUAAAUUAGGUAAGUAGUGGGUAGGCAGGUAAGAUAGGAGAUGGGGGGGCUUUGAGAUUUACUUUCUUUGCUUUGGUUCCGUCCAGCCCCUUUUCCCCAUAUUACCGUGUAAAGGAAUAAAGUCCUUGUAAACGGUA